GAUGAACGCUGGCGGCGUGCUUAACACAUGCAAGUCGAACGGACCAGAUUCGUCUGGUUAGUGGCAGACGGGUGCGUAACACGUAGGUGACCUGCCCUGGAGUGGGGAAUAACUCGGCUAACGCCGAGCUAAUACCGCAUACGUUCGUUGAUUCGGUUCAACGAGUAAAGCAGCAAUGCGCUUUGGGGAUGGGCCUGCGGCGGAUUAGGUAGUUGGUGGGGUAACGGCCUACCAAGCCGAUGAUCCGUAGGGGGCGUGAGAGCGUGGCCCCCCACAUUGGCACUGAGACACGGGCCAAACUCCUACGGGAGGCAG
rnacentral:rRNA from 1 species